rnacentral:lncRNA from 1 species
CUGAGGAACAAAAGCAUUUCUCUGGAACAACGUAUUUUCCUGGACCAAUUAUCAGGUAAUUUUUUUUCCCUCUGUUUUUUCUUUAUGUUUUUAUCUUCUUCUUCUUCAUAGUAGAUCUGUAAAUGUUAUGGCAUAAUUUCUUAAUAUUCUUUUGGAUAAAUCUGCUGCCUGGGAUAUUUUUCCCAUAAAAUUUUCAACACAGAACAGUUUUUCUCUUCAUCAAUUCUCGUCAAAUGCUACAGUUAAAACUAACCAAAAAUUAAUCAAUCAACCCACAUAAAACACAUUUUUUCUUCAUCAAUCACAAUCGGCAACAUCAUCUAACCUUAACAAGGGGGGGAAUCCAAACAGAGACCGGUGGGGGGGUUACUGUGACAGAGGCAAAACAGGGAGGAAUCGUUUUUUUGAACAAUUCAACGCAAAAACAAAGAAACCCACAUCAAAAGAAGCGCCAUCGGACACAGAAAAGAAAAGAGAAAGCUUAAAGAGAGAAAGGGGAGAAGAAAAAUCGAAACCUUUUCAACAGGGAGAGUGAAGAAGGCAAAAACAGCAGCGGCAACAAGGAGAAGAAAGAUGGUGAUCCUGAGAAGAGAAGCCCAUGAAAAAGAAGCCAUAGAAGAGGAAAGCCUAUGACGCCAAGGGCGACAGUCUUCGUCGUCGUCUUGGCAAUCCGAUAUAGCUUGCUUCAAAGACAAGCGGGCUCUCAAGCCUCCAAGAUUUGCCAGGUUUCUUGUCGUUUUGGAGAAAAUGAUAAGAGGAUUGGGACUUGGGAAGGUGCAUUCUUUGUUUUAUUCUUGGAUAAGGAUUUUA